rnacentral:rRNA from 1 species
GGGAUCAUUACCGAGUUUACAACUCCCAAACCCCAUGUGAACAUACCUGUUUCGUUCCCUCGGCGGUGUCCGGCAACGGCCCGCCAGAGGACCCAACAAACUCUUUUGAAUUUUUCAGUAUCUUCUGAGUAAAAAAAACAAUAAAUCAAAACUUUCAACAACGGAUCUCUUGGUUCUGGCAUCGAUGAAGAACGCAGCGAAAUGCGAUAAGUAAUGUGAAUUGCAGAAUUCAGUGAAUCAUCGAAUCUUUGAACGCACAUUGCGCCCGCCAGUAUUCUGGCGGGCAUGCCUGUUCGAGCGUCAUUUCAACCCUCAAGCACCUUCGGGAGCUUGGUGUUGGGGAUCGGCAGGGCGUCCUCCGGGUCGCGCCGUCCCCCAAAUCUAGUGGCGGUCUCGCUGUAGCUUCCUCUGCGUAGUAAUACACCUCGCUCUGGAGUCUCGGUGCGGCCACGCCGUAAAACCCCCAACUUUUUUCUGGUUGACCUCGAAUCAGGUAGGACUACCCGCUGAACUUAAGCAUAUCAUAUGCGGAAGGAA